rnacentral:lncRNA from 1 species
GCCUGCAUCUACUCCUCGGGUUUCCAAGUAGCAUCCUUAACGGCUUGGCAUGACAAGGACUUAACUUCCCACGUUUCCAAAACCUUAUCACACCUUCUAAGGAGAUAACUCUAAGAAUACCCACUCACCAACUACAGAUUCAACAUCCUUGGACCAACUGUCCGUAUAACCCUUCUAUCGGUAUUGUGUCAUUUUAGACUUUGCCAACGUCAUCCUCAC